rnacentral:lncRNA from 1 species
UUGAUUCAUGCAAACAUAUUGCGAGAGCACAGUGUACAAAAUACAACUUUGCCAUAACAAGACUGAAUUGGUUAUUUUUUUUUUUUUUUUUUUGUAGGUUAUUUAAAAAAUUCUUUCCAAGUACCCAGUGAAACCUGCUAAAGUACCCUCUGGUGUAAACAUACCCCUGGUUGGGAAUCAACGAUGUGAUGGACAAACAAGCACAAACUUGGCGAUAUCUGCAUCAAAUCUCCCAGACUUCUGGAAGCCACUUGUGUUCAAAAAUAUGCCCCUGAUAGGUGAAGGCCUGCCUCAUGUGAAACAAUUUUUUUUUAAAAAAAUUUUUAAUAUUAUUUCAAAGGAAGUGACACAUCAUCCUCUGCUAAUUUUAAAAAUAAAUAAAUAAAUAAAUAAAAACUUAGCCUUGUCUAAUUUCUUUUAACUAACUAAUGUUUUAUCUCUCCUGUUUCUGUUUGAUUAUGUAAUUUAUAAUAAAUGCCUUUAUAUUUUUUAUAUAUUUGAUAUUAUAUAGUUAUUAUUAUUAUCAUCAACAUCCACAACAACAAUAGUAAUAUUAAUUAUAAUAAACUAUAGUUAUGAUAUAUAUAUAAAAUCAAAAUCUAUUUUUUCCUAUUUAAUUUUUAUUAAAAUAAAUGACCUAUGAAGACAUAAAACAUUGUAAAAUAUAACCUUGAUAAUGUGAUUGUUUAGCUUACCUCAGGCAUGAUUUGUCUGGUACUGGUAAAUCUACUCUAGCUUUAAUAAUAAACAAAACUCAAUAGUUUUACUUUUUCCCCCACGUCAGUUUAACCAAGUCAAAGAAAAUCAUGUUACUACAUGUUUCUGAACUCCAGUGUGUGGACUGACUGUAAAAUGCUGGCUGUGGUCAUUUGCUUUAGGGUAUGAGGUGAGUGAUAAGUUGUUUUGAAGCUCGGAGAUGUUGUAAUCAUCUCCCACCACAAGGUGGACAACUGUGUGUGUGUGUGUGUGUGUGUGUGUGUGUGUGUGUGUGUGUGUGUGUGUGUGUGUGUUAUUUAUGUGUGUGUGUGUGUGUGUGUGUGUGUGUGUGUGUGUGUGUGUGUGUGUGUGUGUUUAUUUACUGUAUAUACUGUAUAUAUAUAAUGGACAAGGUUGAGAGGUUUUGAUGAAGAGGCUAUGAAAGUGUCUUAUGUUUUAUAGACUUCAUAUUAAGUAAUAUCAGGGUUUAACACUUUAAAUUGACCUAUAUUGCAAAAUUUGACCCUUUUAAAAAAAUUAGCAAAGCAUUCAAAACAAUAAGACAUAAAGCAGCAACACUCUUUCUUAACUUUAAAUUUCACCUCAUUUCCCAGUCUGAUCAAGA